ACUGUCCAGCCUGUGGUCCUAGUUUGGGGUUUUUGAAGGACCAGCCCAAGAUUCUGGGGCCCAGGGAGCUCCAAGAUUUGAGACCCUAAUGGUAGGUUACAACUCAAAAAUGAUUUUGUCCCUGACAUUCGUGUCCUGAUUCCUAGGAACCAAGCUCUUGUAAAGAGGAAUCCCACCUGUAAGAUCGCCAGUCUGAAUGGCGAUCCCGGACCAGGGCUGCAGAGCAGAGGAGGGCGAGGCAGAGAAAGAGCAGACUGUAGAUUUGCAGGGCUAGUAGCAGUAUGUGAUCCUUGUGUUGUGCAAGCCACCCUUCAACCUUGACAACCUGAGUUCUGAGCCAGGUUUUAGGAGAGAUCCUGAGGGGCCCUGAUGCCACAUGCGGCAUUGACAGAUGUGUUGCAUCCUCUCCUCUGACUUCGCAGACUCAGAAGGUAGUGCAGGAAAGAACUUCUGGGUUACCUGUUUAUGCCUACAAUGAAAGAUGAAAAACACUGAGCCAGAGAGGCUCCACCUUUGUAGUUCCCUACAUGUUUCCUAGUUCCAUAGAAAAUGAAUAGAUCUCAGAGCAUGCGCAAGUAGGGGAGGGAAAGAGAGGAUCCAAAGUAGGCUGGAAAGCGCGGGACUUGAUCCCAUGAACUGUGAGAUGUUGACCUGAGCUGAAAUCAAGAGUUUGAUGCCUGACCCACUGAGCCACCCAGGCUUCAUGCCCAGCAUGGAACCCAAGGUGGGGCCCAAAUUCACUACCCUGAGAUCACAACCCUAAGAUCAUGACCUCAGCCAAUAUCAAGAGUUGGAUGCCCAACGGACUGAGCCACCCUGGUGUCCUUCUUUUAAUUUGUUCCUGGACUCUGUUGAUAUAUUUUUUAAGACUUAUUCUUCAUGAAAAAUUCAUUAGAAUUAUGGAAUUGUAAUUUUCCUUUGUGAUGCAAUAUUUGUCAUUUUUUGUAUAAAUAAAAUAAUUACAUCAUUAAAAUAAUCAGAAAGUAUUCCUUUUUCUUUAUGCUGUAGAACAGUUUAUUUUUUAAAUUAAAAAAUUUUUGCCUUUGUGUGCAGUCUUUAUUCCAAUAUGUUUUAA